rnacentral:lncRNA from 1 species
CCACUGUCUGUUGAUGUCUGCCACUGGAUUAGCACUGAGAAAACCAAUUCAAGCAAUAAGAAACCAGCUGUCAGGAAGUGUUUUUCCUUGGAGGUGAAUUGCUGGAUGAGUGGAUGGUCACAGAUCUUGCAGUAUACAGAAUGCAAGCACUUCAAAGAAAAGCAAAAUGCUUGCCCUUCCUCCACUACCCCCGAAGGAGGAUGAGCCUAUAGCUGAAGAUAAGUCCCCAUCACUACUUCAGGAGAAUAGACAAAAUAUAAGUAAGUAACAUUUGCUUAGGAAAAAAAAGUAGUUAUCCUUUUUUUUUUCUUUCAUUAACAUAUCACUAUUAUGAGACAUUGCUGCACUCAAAAAUACUGUGUUCUUAAUAAGAUGUAUCAGGUUAGUAUGUGUCCCUGAUACCUACUAGCUGCUCGAAGAUCUUAAUGUUACCUUUUUAAA